rnacentral:rRNA from 1 species
GACGAACGCUGGCGGCGUGCUUAACACAUGCAAGUCGAACGGUAAGGCCCUUCGGGGUACACGAGUGGCGAACGGGUGAGUAACACGUGGGUGAUCUGCCCUGCACUUCGGGAUAAGCCUGGGAAACUGGGUCUAAUACCGGAUAGGACUCCUGGCUUCAUGGUUGGGGGUGGAAAGCUUUUGCGGUGUGGGAUGGGCCCGCGGCCUAUCAGCUUGUUGGUGGGGUAAUGGCCUACCAAGGCGACGACGGGUAGCCGGCCUGAGAGGGUGACCGGUAACACUGGGACUGAGAUACGGCCCAGACUCCUACGGGAGGCAGCAGUGGGGAAUAUUGCACAAUGGGCGCAAGCCUGAUGCAGCGACGCCGCGUGAGGGAUGACGGCCUUCGGGUUGUAAACCUCUUUCAGCUAUGACGAAGCGCAAGUGACGGUACCUACAGAAGAAGGACCGGCCAACUACGUGCCAGCCGCCGCCGUAA